CCUACGGGAGGCAGCAGUGAGGAAUAUUGGUCAAUGGACGCAAGUCUGAACCAGCCAUGCCGCGUGCAGGAAGACGGCUCUAUGAGUUGUAAACUGCUUUUGUACGGGGGUAAACGCAGAUACGCGUAUCUGUCUGAAAGUAUCGUACGAAUAAGGAUCGGCUAACUCCGUGCCAGCAGCCGCGGUAAUACGGAGGAUUCAAGCGUUAUCCGGAUUUAUUGGGUUUAAAGGGUGCGUAGGCGGUCGGAUAAGUUAGAGGUGAAAUCCCGAGGCUCAACUUCGGAAUUGCCUCUGAUACUGUGCGGCUAGAGAGUAGUUGCGGUAGGCGGAAUGUAUGGUGUAGCGGUGAAAUGCUUAGAGAUCAUACAGAACACCGAUUGCGAAGGCAGCUUACCGGCGCCAGACUGACGCUGAGGCACGAAAGCGUGGGGAUCGAACAGGAUUAGAUACCCGUGUAGUC
rnacentral:rRNA from 1 species